rnacentral:rRNA from 1 species
CCUACGGGAGGCUGCAGUGGGGAAUAUUGGACAAUGGGGGGAACCCUGAUCCAGCCAUGCCGCGUGUGUGAAGAAGGCCCUCGGGUUGUAAAGCACUUUCAGUGAGGAAGAACGCCUGGUGGUUAAUACCCAUCAGGAAAGACAUCACUCACAGAAGAAGCACCGGCUAACUCCGUGCCAGCAGCCGCGGUAAUACGGAGGGUGCGAGCGUUAAUCGGAAUUACUGGGCGUAAAGCGCGCGUAGGUGGCUUGAUAAGCCGGUUGUGAAAGCCCCGGGCUCAACCUGGGAACGGCAUCCGGAACUGUCAAGCUAGAGUGCAGGAGAGGAAGGUAGAAUUCCCGGUGUAGCGGUGAAAUGCGUAGAGAGCGGGAGGAAUACCAGUGGCGAAGGCGGCCUUCUGGACUGACACUGACACUGAGGUGCGAAAGCGUGGGUAGCAAACAGGAUUAGAUACCCCAGUAGUC